CAUUCUCAACCACACUACUCUUUGUAGUGUGGCUUGGAUUAUGGGGUUUUUUGCAGGUUUCUUGAAGCCAGCUUCCCUGAAAUGCAUUAGUGGUAUCUGAGCAGACUACAGAUGUGAUAAAUAUCUACAUCUUUGCUGUAAACAGAUUACACUGCUUCAAACAAAAAUCAUUGUUUUU
rnacentral:misc_RNA from 1 species